rnacentral:rRNA from 1 species
UGGCUCAGGAUGAACGCUGGCGGCGUGCUUAACACAUGCAAGUCGAACGAACCUUCGGGUUAGUGGCGGACGGGUGAGUAACGCGUGAGAAUCUGCCCUCAGGAGGGGGAUAACGGUUGGAAACGACCGCUAAUACCCCAUAUGCCUACUGGUGAAAUGAAUUUCGCCUGAGGAUGAGCUCGCGUCUGAUUAGCUAGUUGGUGAGGUAAUGGCUUACCAAGGCUUCGAUCAGUAGCUGGUCUGAGAGGAUGAUCAGCCACACUGGGACUGAGACACGGCCCAGACUCCUACGGGAGGCAGCAGUGGGGAAUUUUCCGCAAUGGGCAAAAGCCUGACGGAGCAACGCCGCGUGAGGGACGAAGGCCUCUGGGCUGUAAACCUCUUUUCUCAAGGAAGAAGAUAUGACGGUACUUGAGGAAUAAGCCACGGCUAAUUCCGUGCCAGCAGCCGCGGUAAUACGGGAGUGGCAAGCGUUAUCCGGAAUUAUUGGGCGUAAAGCGUCCGCAGGCGGCUUUUCAAGUCUGCUGUUAAAGCGUGGAGCUUAACUCCAUCAUGGCAGUGGAAACUGAAAGGCUUGAGUAUGGUAGGGGCAGAGGGAAUUCCCGGUGUAGCGGUGAAAUGCGUAGAUAUCGGGAAGAACACCAGUGGCGAAGGCGCUCUGCUGGGCCAUUACUGACGCUCAUGGACGAAAGCCAGGGGAGCGAAAGGGAUUAGAUACCCCUGUAGUCCUGGCCGUAAACGAUGAACACUAGGUGUCGGGGGAAUCGACCCCUUCGGUGUCGUAGCUAACGCGUUAAGUGUUCCGCCUGGGGAGUACGCACGCAAGUGUGAAACUCAAGGAAUUG